UCUGCUAAAAAACAGCGGGACGGCGAGGCCAGCCCCUUCUCCCAACUUCAGCCGCGCGGCGUGGCCUCCGGGCGGCGGCGUGGCCAUCCCCCGGCGCCCCCGGACCAGAAGUUUCAACCCGUCCCCAGGAAACAAAGGAGGCGCCCGUACCGACCUUAUAGACUUGUCCGUAGGUGCCAUUUCCCACCACUUCCACCAGCUCGAAAAUCCCCGCCGGAUCCUGGAGGAGAAAGAGGGGAGGGGCUGAACCGGUGACCUGGUUGUAGUUGGGGAUUCGCCGAGCAUCACUCGGCCGACGGGUCCCGAGACUUUGGGCGGAAACUGAACACGAACCUCUCCUUUCACUGCCUGUGCUGAGUUCCUCACUCGGGAUGAGGCGUGGACCAGGAGUCUUGACCCAAGUUCUGUGCCUAGAUAUCGCUGAGGAGCCAUGGAUAGGACUUCUUCCGGCAACUUUGGAAGCCAGUCAGCAGUUAGACAGUUUCAUCCUGUUGAACGUGAAUAAAUGGUCUGCAAACAGU